GACGAACGCUGGCGGCGUGCUUAACACAUGCAAGUCGAACGGACAGGCCCUGCUUUUGUGGGUUGCACGAGUGGCGAACGGGUGAGUAACACGUGAGUAAACUGCCCCUGACUUUGGGAUAACUUCAGGAAACUGGGGAUAAUACCGGGUAGGAGCUACUGCUGCACGGGGGGGGUUGGAAAGUGUCGGCGGUUGGGGAUGGACUCGAGGCUUAUCAGCUUGUUGGUGGGGUAGUGGCUUACCAAGGCUUUGACGGGUAGCCGGCCUGAGAGGGUGGCCGGGCACAUUGGUACUGCGAGACGGCCCAGACUCCUACGGGAGGCAGCAGUGGAGAAUAUUGCGCAAUGGGCGGAAGCCUGAUGCAGCAGCGCCGCGUGCGGAAUGACGGCCUUCGAGUUGUAAACCGCUUUCGCAGGUGACGAAGCGGGAGUGACGGUAAUGGGUAAAGAAGCACCGGCUAACUACGUG
rnacentral:rRNA from 1 species